AGACUCUAAAGAAUCAGUCUCUGUGUGCACGUUCAGUCCUCACUGUUCCCUCACACUCUACAGAAUAAGUCUCUGUGUGAUCGUUCAGUCCUCACUGUUCCCUCAGACUCUACAGAAUCAGAAACUGUGCACGUUGAGUCCUCACUGUUCCCUCAAACUCUACAGAAUUAGACUCUGUGUGCUAGUUCAUUCCUCACUGUUCCCUCAAACUCUACAGAAUCAGAGAUUGUACACGUUCAGUCCUCACUGUUCCCUCACACUCUACAUAUUUAGCCUAUGUGUGCACGCUCAGUCCUCACUGUUCCCUCACACUCUACAGAAUCAGCCUCUGUGUGCACGUUCAGUCCUCACUGUUCAGUCCUAUUCUUUAGAGUGGGAAGGAACAGUGAGGACUGAACAUGCACACAUAGGCUGACUUUUUUGGGUCUGAGGGAACAGUGAGGACUCAACGUGCACACAGAGGCUGAUUCUCUUGGGAGUGAAGUAACACUGAGGACUGGACGUGCACACAGAGUCUCAUUCUGUACAAUGUGAGGUAACAGGACUGAACGUGCACACAGACACUGAUUCUGUAGACUGUGAGGGAACAGUGAGAAAUGAACAUGCACACAGAGGCUGAUUCUGUUGGGUGUGAGGGAACAGUGACUGAACAUGCACUCACAGGAUGAUUCUGUAGAGUGUGAACAAACAGCGAGGAAUGAACAUGCACACAGAGGCUGAUUCUGUUGGGUGUCAGGGAACAGUGACUGAACGUGCACACAGGCUGAUUCUGUAGAGUGUGAGGGAACAGUGAGGAGUGAAUGUGCACAUAGUGUCUGAUUGUGUAGAGUUUGAGGGAAAAGUAAGGAAUGAACGCACACACAGUCUUAUUCUAUAGAGUGUGAGGGAACCGUGAGGACUGAACGUGCACACAGAUUCUGAUUCUGUAGAGUGAGGUACCAGUGAGGACUGAAUGUGCACACAGAGGUUGAUUCUGUUGGGUGUGAGGGUACAGUGAGGACGGAAGGUGCACACAGAGGUUGAUUCUGUUGGGUGUGAGGGUACAGUGAGGACUGAAGGUGCACACAAAGGCUGAUUCUGUAGAGUGUGAGGGAACCGUGAGGACUGGAUGUGCACAGAAUCUGAUUCUGUAGACUGUGAGGUAAUCGUGAUGACUGAAUGUGCACACAGAGGCUUAUUCUGUUGGGUGUCAGGGAACAGUGAGGACUGAACGUGCACACAGAGACGAUUAUGUAGUGUGAGGGAACAGUGAGGACUGAACUUGCACACCGAGAACGAUUCUCUUGGGUGUGAGGGAACAGUGAGGACUGAGUGUGCACACAGCGGCUGAUUCUGUGGAGUGUGAGGUAACAGGACUGAGCGUGCACACAGAGGCUGAUUCUGUAGAUUCUGAGGUAACAGUGACGACUGAACGUGCACACAGAGGCUUACUUUGUAGAGUUUGAGGGAACAGUGAGGACUGAACGUGCACAAAGAGGCUGAUUCUGUAGAGUGUGAGGGAACAGUGAGGACUGAACCUGCACACAGAGGCUGAUUCUGUAGAGAGUGAAGGAACAGUGAGGACUCAACUAGCACACACAGGCUGAUUCUGUAGAGUGUGAGGAAACAGUGAGGACGGAACCUGCACACAGAGGCUAAUUUCGUAGAGUGUGAGGUGACAGUGAGGACUGAACGUGCACACAGAGGCUGAUUCUGUAGAGUGAGAUGACACUGAGGCCUGAUGGUGCACACAGAGAAUUAUUCUGUAGAGUGUGAGGGAACAGUGAGGACUGAAGGUGCACACCGAGGCUGAUUCUGUUGGGCGUGAGGGAACAGUGAGGACUGCAUGUGCACACCGAGGCUGAUUCUGUAGAGUGUGAGGGGACAGUGAGGACUGAACGUGCACACAGAGGCUUAUUCUAUAGAGAGUGAGGUGACAGUAAGGACUGAACGUGAACACAGAGGCUGAUUCUGUAGACUUUGAGGUAACAGUGAGGACUGAACGUGCACACAUAGGCUGAUUCAGUAGAGUUUGGGGUAACAGUGAGGACUGAAAGUGCACUCAGAGGCUGAUUCUGUAGAGUGUGAGGGAACAGUGAGGACUGAACGUGCACACAGACGUUGAUUCUGUAGAGUGUGAGGGAACAAUAAACCUCUGUGCACGGAGGCUUAUACUGUAGAG
rnacentral:lncRNA from 13 species